GUGGGGCCCAGCCCAGCUGGGUCCCUCGCGGGGCCAGACCCCUCCCCGGCCGGGGGUGGCACUGGCUGUGGCUGCUGAGCGGCCCCACCCACCCACCUGAUCCGAGGAGCCGGUGCCCACCCGGGCGGCCACAGCCGGUGCCAUGGACUCGGGGCAGGUGCAGGACAGAGCCCUAAUAUUUUAAACCACAUUUCCAGGCCCAUUUCAUUGUCACUUCCUGCAGCUUCAUUGGUGUCAAAGGUCACAUGACAUCACUUCCUGAUGUGAUACCGCUUCCUGUGAGGUCUUUGAAUAUGGCUUGCCGGCCCACUGGGUGAUAAAAAGUUUGUGAUCUGGUCCCACAUUCAAAAAAGUUGGACACCCCUUCUUUAAAGCUAAACUGAGCAGAAAUAGGCAGAUAGAGGAUUCAGAGAGAGUUAAAACCACCACCUUGUUCUUUCAUCUUGCUAUUUAAAGGUAGCACCAUUCAUAAUUUAAUGUUCAUAUUUGUAUUUUCUAUUUUGAACUUCCAGAACAUGUUUAAUUGACAGUGGGGUUUGCCGUUGCUUUUUACUACUGAUAAAAGUCAUGUAAAACAAGUUAAAUAUGGCUUCUGACACAACAUCUGACAAAAAGAUCAUGCCUGAAUUAAAACGAAACCUUAAUUACUUGGAAUCAUCUGACCAGUGAUUCACAAACAGGGUGCCAUGGCACUCUGACCUCCCUUGAGAUCCUUUCAUGGGUGCUGUGGGGUGGUGUUUCUCAACCUUUUAAGUAGCAAGUACCCCCUAAUAUCUGAAAAUUUUAAUAAGUAUCCCAACACUCAAUUUUCCAGGGGAUUUUAUAUUUACAGACUAAUGUGUGUUAUAUGUGGGAGGAAGGGCUGUGUAUACAAGGCCGUGAUAUAACAGAUGUCUGAUCUGGUGUGGAUAGGGCUGCCACCCUUUACACCAGGGGUGCACCACUCAAGUGUGUACCUGGGCUAGAAGUGAUGUUGCCCAAAGCUAGGAGGGCUGAACUUGGGCACGCCAAAUUAUUACUGGGGAAUUUUAAUGCGCAGCGCACCAAAUUUUUUUGCCAUAAUUUUGAGAGGAAAAGAGGGCGAGAGAGAGUGUUGGGGUACCCGCGUACCCUCUGCCUAUGUCUUGCGUACCCUCAGGGGUACGUGUACCAUAGGUUGAGAAACUAUGCUGUGGGGUACUGCACACUAUUAGCACUCUUGGGUGUGCAAACAUAAUUUAAAAGAUAAACCUAGAGAUUUCAAAUUGGAAUCUAUAAUAUUAAAAACAUUCAGACCUGUUGUGGUCUUUCUGAGUUUUUUGCAACAGAAGAAUUAUUCUAUUAUUUUUCCGUAGUAAAAAAACAAGUGACAACUAAGAACUGAUAUUUUCUGAGGGGUGCCUUAAAUCUAAAAAGGUUGAGAAACAUUUUAUUAGACUUUCUUACUUCUCAGUUUUAUCUGCUUAUUUCCUGUUUUGUUUUUGUUUCCCCCCCUCCUUAUUUUCUUUAGUCUUUGCUAUAGUCAUAGUCUACAUACUUCUGUGGCUCUCUGUUUGCUUUCAUGCUUAUUUGUUGGACAGUGAAAAGAUGGAAAAGACCUAUCAAGUCAUCCACACUCCUCUCUCCUUCCCUUUCCCUCCCAACGCAGGUUUCUUCUCAAGAUUAAAUGUCUCUUUUUUUUGUGUGUGUGUCUGAUUCUAGCUGUCUCAGGUGAUGAGAUUUCCACAACUUCCUGAAAUGCUGUUCUAAGUAUUUUUCUGUAUGGUGGUUUUCCUGGCUAUUUCACAUAUUUUUUUUCCUUUUUCAAUUUUAUUUAUUGGCUAUUAAAUCUAGGAUGACCAUAUAGGACAAUGUGAAGUUUGGGACACUGCCCCCUACUCCUUCUCUCAAGCCAGCAGGUGCUGCAGCAGGCAGAGGCAGGGGUGGGGUGGCACAAUACAGCUCUGGUAUUACUAUUCAGGCAGCUAAGGGAGUCAGUGGUCAUUGUCAUUUCACAGGUGUUAACGAUCAUCUUCUCUUUUUAAUGGUCGUUCCACUAAUCAAGCUAACCUAAUUUUGCUGUCUGCUAGGAAGAUAUUUCACAGCUCAUGUCACUCCACCUACCCACCCCCUGCCUGGGAUGUUGGUUUUACUUUUCACUGGCUGACCAGGACUGGCCUGGCCAAACCAGGAUGUAUGAUCACUCUAAUUAUACCAUUUUACCUUUUGGUGUUAACCUCUUUGAGUACUGGUAGAAUGAGGCCUUCUGUCCUGUAUUUAUUAAUCUACUUUACAAGCUCCUCCUUCACUCCAACUGCAUAAUCUUUCCUUUUUAAAAUCUCCAGCCAUAGUAAUGUUUACAAAACCUUUUCUCUGAAUACCAUCCAGUUUGUAAAUAUCUUUAGGACUGUGGUGCCUAUGACUGAAUAAAGUAUUCCAACUGCAGUCACGCCAUGGCUGUAAAAAGGAGGCCAA